UACGGAGGGGGCGAGCGUUAUUCGGAAUUAUUGGGCGUAAAGCGCGUGUAGGCGGUCCGGUAAGUCCGCUGUGAAAGUCGGGGGCUCAACCCUCGGAUGCCGGUGGAUACUGUCGGGCUUGAGUACGGAAGAGGCGAGUGGAAUUCCUGGUGUAGCGGUGAAAUGCGCAGAUAUCAGGAGGAACACCAAUUGCGAAGGCAGCUCGCUGGGACGUUACUGACGCUGAGACGCGAAAGCGUGGGGAGCAAACAGG
rnacentral:rRNA from 1 species